rnacentral:rRNA from 1 species
UACGGAGGGUGCUAGCGUUGUUCGGAAUCACUGGGCGUAAAGGGUGCGUAGGCGGGUCUUUUAAGUCAGGGGUGAAAAUCCUGGAGCUCAACUCCAGAACUGCCUUUGAUACUGAAGAUCUUGAGUUCGGGGAGAGGUGAGUGGAACUGCGAGUGUAGAGGUGAAAUUCGUAGAUAUUCGAAGAACACCAGUGGCGAAGGCGGCUCACUGGCCCGAUACUGACGCUGAGGCACGAAAGCGUGGGGAGCAAACAGG